rnacentral:lncRNA from 1 species
CAAAAAUCUAAAUCCCUUAUUGAAUUAUAACAAUAUAUUUCUACUUUAGUUGUGUGCUUUUAUUAUAUAAAAUAAUGCAAAAGAAGUGGAUUUCAACUGUAAACAUUUGUCAUCUGGAUCUGUAUGUUAUCAGAUAAGUUUAUCUUAAGAAUUAACUGACAACACAAAAGUUAGCUUCUUGAUAAUGGUGAGUCUAUGACAUUUACUAAUUAUGAAUCAAUGAAAAUCUGGUUUCAACAUAUUUACAAAUACAAUUUAAAAUGCAAGGAAAGUUUUCAUCCUGACUAUCAUGAGCUAGAGAGCUUUCUCCUUUGCAAAAACAAAAAAUAGAAUACCAUUUCGCUAUCAAAUUCUGCAAAUCUAAUGAUAUCCUGAUGUUUAAAGGUUGCAUUAUAUUUUUCAGAUCCGUCCAUUGUUUACAUUCCGUCUUAGUUGACAGUUUCAGGUUAACGUAUAAGAUAUUUAUUUAUUUAUUUAUUAUAAGUGUGAUGUCUUAUUUACUCUGUACAUGAGCAUUAUGUGCAUUUCAUUACAUUAUUUAUUUAAGUAAAAGUGAUGAAAUAAAAUAAAGUUUGAAA